ACGAACGCUGGCGGCGUGCCUAACACAUGCAAGUCAACUUGACUGAAGGAGCAAUCUGACAGUAGAGUGGCGCAAGGGUGCGUAACGCGUAAGUAACUUGCCCAAGGUAAGGAAUAACGUCGAGAAAUCGGCGAUAAUACCUCAUAAUGCAGCGGAUCCGCAUGGAUAUGUUGUUAAAGGUUUACCGCCUUGGGAUAGGCUUGCGUCUGAUUAGUUAGUUGGUGUGGUAACGGCACACCAAGGCUACGAUCAGUAACUGGUCUGAGAGGAUGAUCAGUCACACUGGAACUGAGACACGGUCCAGACUCCUACGGGAGGCAGCAGUGAGGAAUAUUGGGCAAUGCUCGAAAGAGUGACCCAGCAACGCCGCGUGGAGGAUGAAGGUAUUCUAUAUCGUAAACUCCUGUGAGAGCAGACGAAAGACAGAUUAUUAAUCUGGAUGACUGUAUGCUCAGAGGAAGCCCCGGCUAACUACGUG
rnacentral:rRNA from 1 species